rnacentral:sRNA from 1 species
AAAAGAAGAAGCCGGUUUGUGCGAAGA